UACGUAGGGGGCAAGCGUUGUCCGGAUUUAUUGGGCGUAAAGAGCGUGUAGGCGGCCAAACAGGUCAGCUGUGAAAACUCGAGGCUCAACCUCGAGACGUCGGUUGAAACCGUUUGGCUAGAGUCCGGAAGAGGAGAGUGGAAUUCCCGGUGUAGCGGUGAAAUGCGCAGAUAUCGGGAGGAACACCAAUGGCGAAGGCAGCUCGCUGGGACGGUACUGACGCUGAGACGCGAAAGCGUGGGGAGCAAACAGG
rnacentral:rRNA from 1 species